UACGUAGGGUGCAAGCGUUGUCCGGAAUUAUUGGGCGUAAAGAGCUCGUAGGCGGUUUGUUGCGUCGGCUGUGAAAUCCCGAGGCUCAACCUCGGGUCUGCAGUCGAUACGAGCAAACUAGAGUGUUGCAGGGGAGACUGGAAUUCCUGGUGUAGCGGUGAAAUGCGCAGAUAUCAGGAGGAACACCCGUAGCGAAGGCGGCACUCUGGGCCGAUACUGACACUGGAGGAGCGAAAGCGUGGGGAGCGAACAGG
rnacentral:rRNA from 1 species